AGAAAACCUGGGUCACGUGUGUGCAGUAUUGUGGCAGCAGCAACUUUAGUCUGACCAAUGGGGAUUCAUGAGAACAAGGCGGUGUUCCAAAACAUGCCUAGUCGCCUAACUAGACAGAAUUUGUAGUGCUUUUGGAAUUUAGUUCAAAAUUUUAGACAGCAUGUUCGAGAGCGGUUAAGUUCAUUUAGCUGAACGAAUUCUGAGCGCGCCCUCGGUGCUAAAACUGCAGUCUACUUUAGGCGGCUCAGUACGUUUUGAAACACAGUCUGCGUGUUUUUCCCCUUGCCUUCAUUUUUGUUCCGCCCUUCUGGGCUACUUGGACAGGACAUUAAAAAAAAUUACAUAAAAGUAAACAUCUUAGGUAGCCCGAGAUCUUGGUUUCCUUUUAGAUAUCGCUAUUGUGUGUUCAAAUAACUUUUAAAUUCACCUCAAACAACUUUAAAUAGACUUGCUCUCUUAAGACUUUUAAACAUUUAAUAGGUAUUAAAAUUUCCUUGGGUAGUUUUACAUAACUUCGUACCCUUGCCAGGGUAAAAGUGUAGCUUGAAUGAACCUAAUCGGAGUGAUGGAUAGCUGCUUCUGCCCUAACGUCACCCAGUCUGACGCUGAGCGUUCUUGUUGUUGCUUCUCCGUGGUCAAGAGGGCAGAGGUGGCUGGGCAGAGGGAGAUCUGUGGUCAGAUCGUAGGAUUGAUGAGUGAGUUUCUAGGGGGAACUGUGAGGACGUCCAUCUCCUGCCCACCCGAGGGCCACAGCAGCCCCACAUCAAACACACCAGCUCCACUGUGAUGUAUGACGGCUGCGCUGCACUUUCAACCAGAGUCGAGAAGGUCCAUCAAGGGAUUUAUCUCAAGGGAGGAUGAAAGGAGAAGCAGAGGCGUCUGCCAAACAAAGGAUCAUGGGGGCCAACAGUACAGGUCAGGCCUGGUCCUCAAACUGGAGAGAUUCAUAUUAGUCCACUUUAGCUGAAGACACAUUCUGGGCAGAGAUGGGUUGAGUGGAGAGGAGACUAAAUAUUGGGAAAGUAUUGAUAAUAUAAAAAUUUGUGUAUGCAAUACUUUUUCCCAGACUGUUCAGUAAUACAUUGGUUAUUGAUGUGACAGAUGAAAAUUCAUUUAUACAAUGACUGUUACUCUAUAAAGCCUACUUUAUCAUACACAAUUUCUUGCUCCUCUUAAAAAAACAAAAAUACUGGAGAAAUAUCUUGUACUAAAUAUAUUACAUGCUUUCUGA